UACGUAGGGUGCGAGCGUUAAUCGGAAUUACUGGGCGUAAAGCGUGCGCAGGCGGUUUUGUAAGAUCGAUGUGAAAUCCCCGGGCUCAACCUGGGAACUGCAUUGGUGACUGCAAGGCUGGAGUGCGGCAGAGGGGGAUGGAAUUCCGCGUGUAGCAGUGAAAUGCGUAGAUAUGCGGAGGAACACCGAUGGCGAAGGCAAUCCCCUGGGCCUGCACUGACGCUCAUGCACGAAAGCGUGGGGAGCAAACAGGAUUAGAUACCCUGGUAGUCCACGCCCUAAACGAUGUCGACUAGUUGUUGGACGGCUUGCUGUUCAGUAACGUAGCUAACGCGUGAAGUCGACCGCCUGGGGAGUACGGCCGCAAGGUUGAA
rnacentral:rRNA from 1 species